UACGAAGGGGGCUAGCGUUGUUCGGAAUUACUGGGCGUAAAGCGCGCGCAGGCGGUCUUCCAAGUCAGUGGUGAAAGCCCGGAGCUCAACUCCGGAAUUGCCAUUGAAACUGUUAGACUUGAGGAUGAGAGAGGUGAGUGGAAUUCCCAGUGUAGAGGUGGAAUUCGUAGAUAUUGGGAAGAACACCGGUGGCGAAGGCGGCUCACUGGCUCAUUUCUGACGCUCAGGCGCGACAGCGUGGGGAUCAAACAGG
rnacentral:rRNA from 1 species